AGCAGCCGCGGUAAUUCCAGCUCCAAUAGCGUAUAUUAAAGUUGUUGCAGUUAAAAAGCUCGUAGUUGAAUUUCGGGAUCAAUUUAUUGGUCGUGCUAUUGUACGUACUGGUAUUAUUGAUUCCUACCUUCUGACGAACCAUGAUGUCAUUAAUUUGGUGUCAUGGGGAAUCAGGACUGUUACUUUGAAAAAAUUAGAGUGUUUAAAGCAGGCUCACGCUUGAAUACAUUAGCAUGGAAUAACGAAAUAGGACGUUUGAUUCUAUUUUGUUGGUUUCUAGGAUCGACGUAAUGAUUAAUAGGGAUAGUUGGGGGCAUUAGUAUUCAAUUGUCAGAGGUGAAAUUCUUGGAUUUAUUGAAGACUAACUACUGCGAAAGCAUUUGCCAAGGAUGUUUUCAUUAAUCAAGAACGAAAGUUAGGGGAUCGAAGACGAUCAGAUACCGUCGUAGUCUUAACCAUAAACUAUGCCGACUAGGGAUCGGAUGAUGUUAAUUUUUUAAUGACUCAUUCGGCGCCUUAA
rnacentral:rRNA from 1 species